rnacentral:rRNA from 1 species
UACGGAGGGUGCAAGCGUUGUUCGGAAUCAUUGGGCGUAAAGCGCGUGUAGGCGGCUUUGCAAGUCGGUUGUAAAAGCCCGGGGCCCAACCCCGGAACUGCAUCUGAAACUGCCUGGCUAGAGUCCCGGAGAGGAAGGCAGAAUUCCCGGUGUAGGGGUGAAAUCCGUAGAUAUCGGGAGGAAUACCAGCGGCGAAGGCGGCCUUCUGGACGGUGACUGACGCUGGGACGCGAAAGCGUGGGGAGCGAACAGG